rnacentral:rRNA from 1 species
CAGUCGCCGCGGUAAUACGUAGGGUGCAAGCGUUAAUCGGAAUUACUGGGCGUAAAGCGUGCGCAGGCGGUUAUAUAAGACAGAUGUGAAAUCCCCGUGCUCAACCUGGGAACUGCAUUUGUGACUGUAUAGCUAGAGUACGGCAGAGGGGGAUGGAAUUCCGCGUGUAGCAGUGAAAUGCGUAGAUAUGCGGAGGAACACCGAUGGCGAAGGCAAUCCCCUGGGCCUGUACUGACGCUCAUGCACGAAAGCGUGGGGAGCAAACAGGAUUAGAUACCCCCGUAGUCCCUGUCUCUUAUAC